rnacentral:rRNA from 1 species
CGGAAGGAUCAUUAUCGAGUUUUUGAAACGGGUUGUCGCUGGUCCCGUUCUUAACAGAGUCGGGACAUGUGCACACCUGGCUUCAUUCCACUCUUCAACCCCUGUGCACUUGUUGUAGGUUUCAGGUCGGACGCGGGGCUUUCGACUUCAUCGUCGAGAGCCUCAAGGAAAGCCUGAGCCUAUGUUUUACCAUACACACGCUUCAGUUAUAGAAUGUAAACAUCGCGUAUAACGCAUUUUAAAUACAACUUUCAGCAACGGAUCUCUUGGCUCUCGCAUCGAUGAAGAACGCAGCGAAAUGCGAUAAGUAAUGUGAAUUGCAGAAUUCAGUGAAUCAUCGAAUCUUUGAACGCACCUUGCGCUCCUUGGUAUUCCGAGGAGCAUGCCUGUUUGAGUGUCAUGGAAUUCUCAACCUUUGAAAGCUUUUAUCGGUUCUCAAAGGCUUGGACUUGGAGGUCGUGUCGGCUCUGCAAAGAAUAUCGACUCCUCUGAAACGUAUCAGUGCGAACCUUUACGGAUCGUCUUCGGUGUGAUAAACGUCUACGCCGUGGUCGUGAAGUAUGAUCGUGUCCGUGCUUCUAACCGUCUCCUUUGCGAGACAAAAACUGUGUUACUUACUAUAAGUAACAUAGGCAUUGACAAUCUGACCUCAAAUCAGGUAGGACUACCCGCUGAACUUAAGCAUAUCAAUA